UACGUAGGGUGCGAGCGUUAAUCGGAAUUACUGGGCGUAAAGCGUGCGCAGGCGGUUCGUCGUGUCCGAUGUGAAAGCCCCGGGCUCAACCUGGGAAUGGCAUUGGAAACUGGCGGGCUUGAGUGUGGCAGAGGGGGGUGGAAUUCCGCGUGUAGCAGUGAAAUGCGUAGAGAUGCGAAGGAACACCGAUGGCGAAGGCAGCCCCCUGGGCUAACACUGACGCUCAGGCACGAAAGCGUGGGGAGCAAACAGG
rnacentral:rRNA from 1 species